rnacentral:rRNA from 1 species
UACGGGGGGAGCAAGCGUUGUUCGGAUUUACUGGGCGUAAAGGGCGCGUAGGCGGCCACCGCAAGUCGACUGUGAAAAUCUCCGGGCUUAACCCCGGAAAGGUCAGCCGAUACUGCGGGGCUAGAGUGCAGAAGGGGCAACUGGAAUUCUCGGUGUAGCGGUGAAAUGCGUAGAUAUCUGGAGGAACACCGGUGGCGAAGGCGGCAUCCUGGACCGAGAUUGACGCUGAGGCGCGAAAAGCUAGGGGGAGCAAACGGG